rnacentral:rRNA from 1 species
AUACGUAGGGUGCAAGCGUUAAUCGGAAUUACUGGGCGUAAAGCGUGCGCAGGCGGUUUUGUAAGACAGAGGUGAAAUCCCCGGGCGCAACCCGGGAACUGCCUUUGUGACUGCAAGGCUAGAGUCCGGCCGAGGGGGAUGGGAUUCCGCGUGGAGCGGUGAAAUGCGUAGAUAUGCGGAGGAACACCGAUGGCGAAGGCAAUCCCCUGGGCCUGUACUGACGCUCAUGCACGAAAGCGUGGGGAGCAAACAGGAUUAGAUACCCUGGUAGUCCACGCCCUAAACGAUGUCAACUGGUUGUUGGGUCUUCAUUGACUCAGUAACGAAGCUAACGCGUGAAGUUGACCGCCUGGGGAGUACGGCCGCAAGGUUGAAACUCAAAUGAAUUGGCGGGG